ensembl:lncRNA
CUCGUUUUAGCCAGCAGAUGGCACUCGUGUUGCGUUUAAAUUCUGAAAAAGCUUAAAAAAUACAUAUUCAUAUUUUCUAUUUUUACCAGAAAGAGUGAGAAAAAAAAAUCUUAAGAAAGGCCAUUGUCUGUGCCAUGGGGAGAUAAUUAGGGUAUGUAAAACAGCUGAUACAGUAAUUAAUAAGAGCAGUGACUGGAGAGUCUUGAAAAGCUUUACUAUAAAACUGCGGGAGGGUAAUUGACCUCACCGACAUCAGAAAAAACAUCGCGAGCUCGCACACAGCAGGGAAAGGCUGUGUUCUUACUUCUGUGGAUUUAGAACCAAACCAGGAAAUCCUGGAGCUGCGCUUCUAAGCCACACCUGGGAAGGCUUUGAAGCAGUUAGUUCUGAGAAGACGGCAUCUUCAGUGACUGUUUUCAACCAAAUUCUAGGGCCAAGGCAAUGAUUGACACGUAGUAGAUGCUCAGGAAACACGAACACCAUAGCGCCAGCAGAAGUCUCAACAACAGGCGUCCGCUUUCUCAUGGUAAUCCCGGAUAGACUUGGAAAUUCUAGGGUCUUGUCUGCAUUUGCUGGUGCAGCCCCGAGCAUGGCCCUCCCCUUGCCUGGGUGUCAUUGACUUAGGGGAAACGAGGUGGAAAUAGGUAUGUAUCCUGACCCUAUAUGGAUUCCACUGGACGCAUCCUCCGUGUUGGGGGAAAAUGGGGCUUUGAUUUUCCUGGCAAUGAUCAUGAUCUUCUCUCUCAACUCAUCGCUCAGCCUGAGCCUGAAAUGUCCUGCUCCUCCAGGCAGAGGAGACCUGCCCUCCCGAAGCCCUGUGGACGGUGCCACCAGAACAACAAUACUGAGAAUGACAGAGAUGUUCCGCUUUCCCUGUCCGUCACCUGUGGGCAGCCACCUCCCGGAAGCGGAUGAGCCUCCCUCCCACCAAUCACUGGAAGAUCAGUGGUAGCCCCACCCCCCGACACAGCCGGAGUCACCCCCUCGCUUCCUCUCGCCACACAGUCAUUUUAUCAUCUCAAGUCGGCCCGAUGAGGGUGAGUACAAGACAGAUAAGAUUUUGAAGGAGAGAGAGCGACCACGUUCCCGUAACUUUUAUUGCGGCAGGUUGUUAUAAUGGUUUCUAUUUUAUUAGCAGUUAUUGCUGUUCAUCUCUUACUGUCCCUAAUUCAUAAAUUAAACCUCAAAAUACGUAUGGGUACAUACGUAUGCCAAAUAGGUACGUAUGUUUAAGGGAAAAGCAGUCUAUAGAAGAUUUGGUACUGUCUGCAAUUUCAGGCGUCGGGCGGAGGUCUUGGAACACAUUCCCCCCGCGGAUAAGAGGGGAGUGACUGUAUUGUAAGGAGCGCUCCGUUUGCUUCAAGCGCUGGGAGACCCAAGCUGGCCUUCCUUAGAUGCUCGGAGUGUGAGCUUUGGGUUGCAGGGGCCUCUGUCGGUCCCGGCUGUUCUUUGCCCACUUUCCAGCCUCGCGACCCAGGCCGCAGCCUGGUUCGGUUCUGUUCAGGUCUCGAAGUACUGGUCAGUACCGCUCUAGUUUUUCUAGUUCAGGACCACAGAAGGGACAGCAGGAGCCUUUGGGCCAUUUCAGGAUGGGGGGGGGGGGGGGGAACAGAGGUCUGAGGGUUGGCCCCAAGACUGGCUGGUGGAGCUUAUACCUGAGUCUGGCCUGGCUGAAGGCCUGGGCGGAAACAGUGUGUUUGGUUUGCACAAGACCACCUCUGACCCCUUGCCUCAGACCCGCCAUGCCCCUGAAGUCCUUCCAACCCCUGCUUGCUGGAGCUACUCCACAUUACUGGAACUCUCCAGAUCCAACCAGAAGCAUCAGGCUUUAGGUGUGGCCAAGGAUCCUCGCCCCACCUGAAUUUCAGCGGGGUUGAGGGUGAAGACACUGACCUGUCUCAACUCCUUGUACCCAGGAGCAAGCCCCAGGUCUUGUGCUGUCAACGACAACCAGAGGGGUGACCCUUGAGGGUAUGGACCGUCACCAUCAAUAGCAAUAAAUGCUGCUUUUUCUCAGACA